UCUCCUUCUUUGUUUCCAAAUAUCAGGUAUAUGUUCUAAAGCUCUCGAGUUUGUGCAAAUAAAGUAAAAUGUUAUUUGAAGUGGAUCUCCAAGCCUUCUUGUUUUCUAUUCAAGUUUAGUAUAAGUCAGUUGUUUAUUCGACAUUUCAUGACAUUUGUAGACUAAAUUGAUCCUGGAUUGUAUAAAUUAGACUUUGAACUAUUGAGCAUAAGUUUGUUUCAUUUGGUCUAUUAAAUAUGCGUAGGAGCUAGAAAUGCACAUAAGUUUGGAUGUGUAUCAGCUGUAGCAAUUUCAUACUAG
rnacentral:lncRNA from 1 species